UGGCUCAGGAUGAACGCUGGCGGCGUGCUAUACAUGCAGUCGAACGAAACUUUCUUACACCGAAUGCUUGCAUUCACCGUAAGAAGUUGAGUGGCGGACGGGUGAGUAACACGUGGGUAACCUGCCUAAAAGAAGGGGAUAACACUUGGAAACAGGUGCUAAUACCGUAUAUCUCUAAGGAUCGCAUGAUCCUUAGAUGAAAGAUGGUUCUGCUAUCGCUUUUAGAUGGACCCGCGGCGUAUUAACUAGUUGGUGGGGUAACGGCCUACCAAGGUGAUGAUACGUAGCCGAACUGAGAGGUUGAUCGGCCACAUUGGGACUGAGACACGGCCCAAACUCCUACGGGAGGCAGCAGUAGGGAAUCUUCCACAAUGGACGCAAGUCUGAUGGAGCAACGCCGCGUGAGUGAAGAAGGUCUUCGGAUCGUAAAACUCUGUUGUUAGAGAAGAACACGAGUGAGAGUAACUGUUCAUUCGAUGACGGUAUCUAACCAGCAAGUCACGGCUAACUACGUGCCAGCAGCCGCGGUAAUACGUAGGUGGCAAGCGUUGUCCGGAUUUAUUGGGCGUAAAGGGAACGCAGGCGGUCUUUUAAGUCUGAUGUGAAAGCCUUCGGCUUAACCGGAGUAGUGCAUUGGAAACUGGAAGACUUGAGUGCAGAAGAGGAGAGUGGAACUCCAUGUGUAGCGGUGAAAUGCGUAGAUAUAUGGAAGAACACCAGUGGCGAAAGCGGCUCUCUGGUCUGUAACUGACGCUGAGGUUCGAAAGCGUGGUAGCAACAGAUA
rnacentral:rRNA from 2 species